GAAAAAACAAGUGGCUUAAAGAAAAGUUCAUUUAAACUUCAUAAAAUAUCUGCCCACUAAGCAUUCAUGGGAAAUUUGACAAUUUAUAAGUGAUCUUUGCUAUUUAAGAGUCAGCACCCAAAAUUCUAAAUACAUUAAGAUCUUCCUCUGUAAUACAAACUUCGUCAAUUACACAGACAUCCAUCCCAAUUCUGAUGGGCAUGUUGUCUUGUGUUUAUUGGAAAACAAAAUGUGAACAGUAUAUGUAAUGAUUUAAAGUUGAUAUUUGUAAAAUUUGAAAAUAAAUUUUCUAAUAGGGUCCAAUUCUCUGUGAUUGUGUGAGUAAUUUGACUAAAAUCCUCUAUUAUUAGAGGGUGAAUGAGGAAGAAGGAGGUCAUAUAUUUUACGAUACUUGAGAUUAAGUCCAGAGAGAGAUGGACACAAUAAUGUGGAUUUAUUAAACUAGCUAACUCAUACAUAUAUAUGUGUAUGUCUGUCUACUACCUAUUUAUCCACCUAACAUACCUACAUACAUCUUUGUAGUACUUAUCAUUUGCUGGGCUAUGUUUUAAGUGCUUUAACUGUAUUAACUCUUUUUUUUUCUUUUCUUGAGACGGAGUUUCGCUUUUGUUGCCCAGGCUGGAGUGCAAUGGUGCAAUGGUGCGAUCUCCGCUCACCGCAACCUCCACCUCCCAGGUUCAAGUGAUUCUCCUGCCUCAGCCUCCUGAGUAGCUGGGAUUACAGGCAUGCACCACCAUGCCCGGCUAAUUUUGUAUUUUUAGUAGAGGCAGGGUUUCUCCAUGCUGGUCAGGCUGGUCUCAAACUCCUGACCUCAGGUGAUCUGCCUGCCUUGGCCUCCCAAAGUGCUGGGAUUACAGGUGUGAGCCACUGUGCCCGGCCACCUGUAUUAACUCUUUUAAUGCAGACCACACCUAAAGAUCUAUACCCACACGUAGCAAAGGGUACUGAUCGAUAUUGUUUUUAAUGAGUUCUGAGGAAGGAAGAUAGAGGAUUCCAUAAGUAUUAAUAUUGUUUUACUGAAACAUGUUUUUGAGUGGGGCCUAAACCCAUGAAUUGUUUCUAAGCAAAGCUGUAACUGACCCAAAAGGGCUAUAAAAGAAAUUACAAAGGCCCAGUGCAGCCAGCCUUAUCAAUGACAAUCAAAUAAAGAGAAGUAUGUAUCUCUACUGAAUAUCUACUAUCUGCAAGGGACUUUAAACAUAUUAACCCAUGUAAUCCUAAAAAUAAUCCUUUAAAUAAGUAUCAUUCCAAUUUUACAGAUGAAAAAACUGAGGCUUAAAGGAGUUAAAUAUGCCCCUUGUUCGUGGUUAAUUAGCUAGUAAGGAUUCAAACCCAGGCCCAUUGAGCAAAACGUCCAUGGUCUUUCUUAUGGCUGCCCAUAUACAGUAUCUUACCUUCCCAUUUCUUAGGAAGAGGAAACACCAGAUUCAUAGUGUACUGGUUUCCUGUUCUGCGGGUGCCUUAAUUAACCACAUGAAGUAGGACAGAUGAGCACAGCAAGGUAUCAGCAUAUUCUGAAAAUCUGGAUGGCCUGUGCCCGUCUAGUUAUCCAGGUUAAGUGUCUUUGUCCCAACGGCUGUGUGUGCAUUUUUGUUCAAAACCAUCCUUUUAAUCGGCUUUGAGAUGCAGCCAAAACAAAAUGU
rnacentral:lncRNA from 1 species